rnacentral:rRNA from 1 species
ACCCACCACAGAAGGUAAUAGUCCUGUAUGUUAAACGAGAAGACUUUAGAUAUGAUCCAGAGUACCACGGGACACGUGAAACCCUGUGGGAAGCAGGAGGGACCACCCUCCAAGGCUAAAUACUACCUAGUGACCGAUAGCGUAUAGUACCGUGAGGGAAAGGUGAAAAGAACCCCGGGAGGGGAGUGAAAUAGAACCUGAAACCCUGCACUUACAAGCUGUGGAAGCACAUUUCUUGUGUGACCGCGUACUUUUUGUAGAACGGGCCAACGAGUUACGUUAAGUAG